CAAAAAUUCAUUUGAAAAAAAAUCUGGUUAGAUUUCAUGGUAAUCUCUCCAGGGACACAAUAAUAAAUGCAGAGAGGUGUUCAUAAAGAGCAAUAUCAGAUGGCACCCCAAAAAAGGAUAUGAAAGAACACCAAAAGGGAACUCUAAAGAUUUAGUUGGAAAAGUAGAUGCAGAGAGGUGUUCAUAAAGAGCAAUAUCAGAUGGCACCCCAAAAAAGGAUAUGAAAGAACACCAAAAGGGAACUCUAAAGAUUUAGUUGGAAAAGUAGCACCGGGUUUACAUCAUACACUGCCUUGUAUUCCAGUAAUCUGUAUGAGUGUCUUCUUUUCUACCUGAUUAUACAGUCCUUAACUGGCUGAUUCAUCACUAUUGUCUGUAGCAUUCUACAACAAACAGUAAGCAGUUAAUAUCUGCUAAAUGACAAAAUGUACUAAAAUUUACAUUAAAAAAUAAAUUCAUGCUUACCAUCAGAACA
rnacentral:lncRNA from 10 species